GGCUGCAGAACUCGCUCGUGUCAAGUUGGUUGGCGCGGCAAAGCGGCAAUCAGCUGUGUGGUUAUCCAGUUAUACAGUUAACCCAUAGACUACAAAUUGUGUUAGCAGUUACUUAUGCGUGUCAGUAUGUGAGUGUGAGUGAAUGCGUGAGUGCCGCCGACAGGCAAUCAAUACGAACUAGAAAAGGAGAGGGUCAAAGAGAGAGAGAGUAAAGGCGAGCAACAGCCGUCGGCAUUCAUACGGCAGGCCGCUAUUUAAAGUUGACGUUGAUGAUGUAUGGACAAUAGAUGUCGCCACUUAAAGCCGUUAACCAGCGGCCACGGAAGCAGACGGCGGAAAUUACAAAUGCGUUGACAGGCGGCUGCGAACAACCAAAACGGCUCAGCGGCUGCCAGCGACUGCAGCUGGAGAUGUCUACGCAACUUUGGCCGUGCCACGCGCGUUAUCAUUGGACACAUAAUUGCCCUCAAUCGGGCUAAAUGAAAACAACUCGUUGACGUUGCCGCCCCACAAAAAAAAAAAAAGAAGUGUUUCGAGUAAGAAAAGCCUACUACUAUAUCGUCUAUAAGUAAGCGCACACUCCGCUCAUAUAACAAUUAAGCGCAACGCGUCGCUUAAUUGAAAUGUUUCAAGGCAAACAAAUCAACGGGACAGACCGAAGCCCCAACAAAUUGUGGCACGCAAAUUGGAAUUUCAUUGUCUUCCACUGACAACGGCCAAUUUUGCCACGCCUUCGGAUGAACCAUGGUUAUACCAUAUCACAGAUAUACUGCCAGGAUCCUAAAUAAUCGUAUAUUUAUUAACUGCAAUAUACGCAAGAAUAUGGUCAGCAACUAAAUAAAGCACGUCCUUGCCCAACCCUACCCACCGACACAACAACAAUGUUUCCCAGUUGACCCACAUAUCCUUGGUCCUGCCAUACCAUAGA